UACGGAGGAGGCAAGCGUUAUCCGGAAUUAUUGGGCGUAAAGCGUCCGCAGGUGGCUAUUCAAGUCUGCGGUCAAAGCCUGGGGCUUAACCCUGGAAAGGCCGUGGAAACUGAAGAGCUAGAGUGCAGUAGGGGUAGAGGGAAUUCCCGGUGUAGCGGUGAAAUGCGUAGAGCUCGGGAAGAACAUCGGUGGCGAAAGCGCUCUACUGGACCGCAACUGACACUCAGGGACGAAAGCUAGGGGAGCGAAUGGG
rnacentral:rRNA from 1 species